UAAGUCCCCUUGUCUCCUUGCUGUCUUUCCAGACUCUGCAUAAAUGUGAGAGUGAAAUGUUGCUUUCAAGGAAAGCAAAAUGCAGCUGGCGUGUUUAGAUCCUAGGCUUCAGGGAGCUCUGUGAGGAAACAGUGAGCCAGCAAGAGGGAGCCUCCUAGAAGGGUGUGUGGGAAAGUGGCGGGAAGCAAGGCCUGAGCCCUUUCCCCAGCUGCGCACUCUUCCUUCCUCAUGCAAGUGAGGCGAAAACGUCAGGUGAGCAAGGAGGAGAGGCUGCGCAUAAAUAGGAACCGCACUGGAGAAGCAGCGCUCUAACCAAUAAGAGUGAACCCCACAAAGACGAGGAAGGAGACUUAUCUCUCAGCUACUAGCUGACACCCUAGGAAUGCAAUGCCAAAGGAGACACACAAAACGACUAUCAGCUACCCAAGUAAAAGAUUCUACCUGGCCCUUCACAUACGGCUCAACUACUUGUCCCUGAAAACCUCCUCCACUACAGUCCCUGUCAUUGUUCCUGCCAACUCUGAGCUCCACAGACCAGCGCACCUGGAAAGAGCCCAACGCUCACCUAAUCCUCUUAUUUCACACAGUACAAAACUGAACUCAGAAAAACAAGAAGACUUGCCUGGAGUCACAGUCUUGGUCAGUGAUCUCACCUCUCACUUAAAUACAGAGAUUUGCUAAAUUAAUCCUGACCAUGACUGAUGUGACUAGAGUGUGAGGCAUCACAUACAUUUUAUUUCAGAUUAUCCUUUCAGGCGAUCCCCUUUUACAGAUGAAGAACCCGGGGCUCACACAGGUUAGGGAACUUGCUAAAAAAACACUCCAACAGAAAGUGGUGUAGCCAGCAGGAUUCAAACCCAGGUCUGACUCAAAUACAAAAGUCUUACACUUUGUGUCCUACUGAACUGUCAGUUCUUUUAUCUGAGUACAUAUGAUCUCUCUAAGUAAAAGCUCAGCUUACCAAGGUCAAGGAUGGUGCUGGGUAUGAUGUCACAUAUGGAGCAAUGUUUGUUCAUUUACCC
rnacentral:lncRNA from 1 species